rnacentral:tRNA from 1 species
CAGAUGAUAGUUUAUGUAAAAUGGUAAUUUUGGAUAUUAUUGAAAGUUCUUACUUUAUCUG